GAAGAGUCUUAACUCCUCCCACCCAUCUCUGAGACAAUGGACAGUGGAGUCCAGAUCCAGUGAACCUCUGGUGUAAAAACAGCUUCUUUGGAGAAGGAGGUAUGAAUUCUUUAAGCUUCCAUCAUUUUCUGCUUUUAGUCUCUCAGUCUGUACUUGGCUACAUUGUCUCCUUCAAACACACCGUUUCUCUUCUGAAGUGGCGGUAUGCUAUGGAGGUCUCCAGCAGGCAUUAUCUGAGGUCUAUCACCAAACCUGUCUGUGACUGGCUUAAUUUCUUAACUUCUUUGCACCUCAAUUCUCAUCUAAUAAAUGGGUAUUCCUUUUUUUUUUUUUCCAGUGUGUCAUUACUUAAGACUGUACAUUGAGCAAAACAAUGACUAUCACUGUGUUUGGUGUAUUGCACAACACAGCGAGGCUGAACUCUGCGAGAUCCACAGCUACUUUAUAAAUCAGGGUCACAACUGCUGGAUGAGAACACAAGUCAGAGCUGCCUCCUCAAUCUCUUUCUUAGGAGAACAGCACCCAAAAUUUGAGACUCCCUUAAGAAUUUAGUGAGCUUGGUAUCUCAUAUUCCUUCUUCUUUUCUUGAAGUUCCUUGAAAUAAACUAAAAAUUUGGGAGUUCCUACAAGAUUCAGCUACCAGAAGUGCUGUGCAACUACAGCUGAAAAGUAAAUUAUAUAUGUGGACAAGAGAAAAAAACAGCAGUUAGAAUAGCCUGAAUAGUAUGCAUGCAUUGCACAUUUCCCAUUUAAACCAAUGCUGUUGCUGUCCGCUAGUUCAGUUACUGCCAGUGUGUGGCUUUGGGCGAAGCAAUUUUCUGCUCCACUUUUUCCAUCUGUGAGACAAAGAAAGCAUGAAAACAGGG